rnacentral:rRNA from 1 species
UGGCGGCGAUAGCGCGGUGGUCCCACCUGACCCCAUGCCGAACUCAGAAGGUGAAACGCCGUAGCGCCGAUGGUAGUGUGGGGUCUCCCCAUGCGAGAGUAGGGAACUGCCAGGCU